GGCAAUGUGACCGAGUGGUUAAGGUGUCUGACUCGAACUUUUGAAUAUUUCAAAUAUUCAACAAAGUGAUCAGAUGGACUUUGUCCGCACAGGUUCAAAUCCUGUCAUUGUCG